AUAAUAAGAAAUACCGGUGUCAAAAAAUAGUCACUCUGAUAGUCAUCAGUUUCAGGGCCUAUCAACAUGAGUAUAGAAACAAGACAGUGGCUUCCCAUGACCCACUGUGUGCGUUGCCUUUUGACCCAUCGGUUUGGCUCACAUGCUCAGUUAAGACUUCUGAGGCAGUAUACUGACCACUACAGCACGUACAAAUUUAAUCAUGUGGGUAUACUGUACACACACAUACACACACACACAGAUGGGGGGCUGUGGGAGAAAGAAUGCCAGAGAGAAGAAAAAUAAAGCAAAUCAAAAUUGUGAUGCCGCCGCUGAUUGUACAUUGACAAUUGGUCAGUCUGGAAUUCCAUUGAAGCCCUUUCCCACAGUUUACAGAGAGCUGGGCACUUGUAAUGAACACACAGGAGGUUUAUUGGGAAUGCUGAAACAGACCCAAAGGGAUUCUAUAUCUGCACUCUGUCACUGGGUUUUGAUUUUGGAAGCUGAAAGCAGAUUUUAAUCACCGUUCCUACGAACAGAGAGGAAUGUAAAGUAAACAUAUUUUGAAAGGUGAGGGAGCUGCAUGAGACAUUUCUACGAUUUCUUCAGGGUUUCUUCAAAUUGGAAAUGUUUCUAAUCAGUGGAUUCUGUUGUCUGUCUAAUGAUAAAAUCAGGACUAAACACUUUAAGCUUAAUUGAGUUUGAUCAAAUAAAACAUUUUGUGAUUUUGUAAACCAGCAUGAAGAUUGUUAUAUUUCUAAUUUAUUGCCAAUGAGUGGAAAAGAACAUUCAGAAUUCCUCUGUGCUCUGCACUACGUCUCAAGACUUAACUGGGAACAUAACAAAGGAUUGUAGAAGAUGGUGACUUGCCAGUGUGUAGCGCACACUCAAUCACUCACAGCUGGAUGUUUGGAUAACAGGAUGUGUUAGCUUUGCUGUAUUCACAUUUCGGACGUGUACUGCCUCAGUUGGAAGCAUGAAUCAAAGGAGACCUGUUCUGGAGGAUGGAAAUCAUUCAAAGUAUCACACAGUUGAAAAGAGGAACAGAAGUAAAGACAAUCUACUGAUGAACGAAGACUUUGGAGAGGACUGUUAUGGCAGUUAUGGACACUACCAUGGUGAGAACCUGGCCAGACAGGCAUUACCCAAGAGCAGAAGGCAGGCAGUGCGAGGGGCAGCCUACAUGUUUAAUGCCCAUCCCAACAGCCUAACCCCAGUAGAGGAACGUUUCCUUGAUGCAGCCGAGUAUGGAAACAUACCCGAGGUGCGCCGAAUGCUUGAGGAGAUCCCUGAGCUGGACGUUAACUGUGUGGACUACAUGGGCCAGAAUGCAUUGCAGUUGGCGGUGGCAAACGAGCACUUAGAAGUAAUAGAACUCUUGUUGAAGAAAGACAACCUGUCGCGUAUUGGGGAUGCACUUUUGUUGGCAAUCAGCAAAGGAUACACUAGGAUUGUUGAGGCCAUUUUGAGCCACAAAGCUUUCGCAGACUCCAAGAGACUCACAGGGAGCCCUAGUCAGGCUCCAAUGCAUGAUGACUUUUUUGCAUACGACGAAGAUGGCACUCGCUUUUCUCAUGACGUCACUCCAAUAAUUGUAGCAUCUCAUUGUCACGAAUACGAAAUCGUGCACAUUCUUCUGGGAAUGGGUGCUUGCAUUGAGCAACCACACGACUACUUUUGUGCCUGCAACACCUGCAAUUAUCAUCAAAAAUAUGAUUCUUUCUCCCACUCCCGCUCGCGUAUCAAUGCGUACAGGGGAUUGGCCAGUCCAGCGUACCUCUCUCUGUCCAAUGAGGAUCCUGUGUUGGCGGCCCUGGAGCUCAGCAAUGAGCUGGCUUCCUUGGCCAAUAUUGAAAAAGAAUUUAAGAAUGAAUAUAGGAAACUUUCUAUGCAAUGCAAAGACUUUGUUGUGGGGCUUCUGGACCUGUGUCGGAGUACAGAGGAAGUGGAAGCCAUUCUGAAUGGUGAAGAGGAUGAGACUUUAGAAGUGCCUGGACGACCAAGUUUCAUUCGCUUAAAACUCGCAAUAAAGUAUGAACUGAAAAAGUUUGUUGCCCAUCCUAACUGUCAACAACAGCUCUUAUCAAUAUGGUACGAAAACCUGCCCGGACUCAGGCAACAAAAAACGGCUAUUAAGUUCCUGGUGGUUUUAGGUGUUGCAAUCGGACUUCCCUUUCUAGCAAUGGUGUAUUGGGUGGCACCAUGCAGCAAGAUGGGAAAGAUCAUGCGUGGCCCUUUCCUUAAGUUUGUGGCACAUGCGGCCUCCUUCACUAUUUUCCUUGGCCUUUUGGUCAUGAACGCUGCAGACCGCUUCGAUGGGACAAAGCUGCUUCCAAAUAUGACCAUUCAUGACUAUCCGACACAGCUGUUUCGUAUGAAAACAACUCCCUUUACAUGGAUGGAAAUGCUCAUCAUUUCCUGGGUCAUAGGGAUGAUUUGGGCAGAGUGCAAGGAGAUCUGGUCACAAGGUCCAAGAGAAUAUCUGCUUGAGCCAUGGAAUUUGCUAGACUUUGGAAUGUUGGCCAUUUUUGUGGCAUCCUUCAUCUCGAGGAUAAUGGCUUUCUGGCAUGCAUCUGUAGCACAAUGCUAUGUUGAUGAGCACUACACUGAUUUAACCAAUGUAACUUUGCCUUUUGAGGUGGGAUACUUCCAGUUGGCUCGGAUCUACUGGUUCCCGUCUGAUCCUCAGUUAGUUUCUGAGGGCUUGUAUGCCAUUGCAGUGGUCCUGAGCUUUUCUCGAAUUGCGUACAUCCUGCCAGCGAACGAGAGCUUUGGACCACUGCAGAUAUCUUUGGGGCGAACUGUGAAGGACAUCUUCAAGUUCAUGGUUAUCUUCAUUUUAGUCUUCCUGGCCUUCAUGAUUGGAAUGUUCAACCUCUACUCAUAUUAUCGGGGCGCUAAACAGAAUGAAGCUUUCACAACUGUAGAGGAAAGCUUCAAAACAUUAUUUUGGGCAAUAUUUGGCCUUUCUGAAGUCAAAUCAGUAGUCGUGAACAAUGGACACAAGUUCAUUGAGAACACUGGCUAUGUUCUCUAUGGAGUUUACAAUGUCACGGUGGUCAUCGUCCUACUCAACAUGCUCAUUGCUAUGAUCAACAGUUCCUUUCAGGAGAUUGAGGAUGAUGCAGAUGUGGAGUGGAAGUUUGCCCGGGCCAAGCUUUGGUUCACCUACUUUGAGGAAGGCCGGACUCUCCCUGUGCCUUUUAACUUGGUUCCCAGUCCCAAAUCUGUUCUGGGUCUAGUUAUGGGGGCUAAGAGUCUUUUGCAGGAGCUUUUCAACAGACACAAAGCCAUUGUGAAGGGGUCUGAGCUCAGUGAGUUGGGACAGAGCAAAACUUGCCAGGACAAAUCUCUUCCCAGCUCCACUCGAUAUCAGAAAAUUAUGAAGCGUCUUGUUAAGCGAUAUAUCAUCAAAGCUCAAAAGGACAAAGAAUGUGAUGAAGUCAAUGAAGGUGAGUGGAUUUAAGCUUUCAUAAGAGGUAUAAUUUACAAAAUAUAUAUGGUAAAAUAGAGUGGUGAAAAUUUUUAGAACACCUGAUAGAUCUGAAAAUAUUGACCUUUUUUGCCUCCAAAACGUGAUUUCAUUUCAUAAUGUUCAUGACACAUGAAGAUGGUUGUUCUGAGCACAACAAAUAUCAGAGUUGUGCUGUUUUUAUAAAAUGUUACAUUUAAUAUUUGGUGUGUCCAACUUUUGCAGCAAUAAUAGCAGCACAUUUCUCUUGCAUAGUGUCAGUAUAUUUCCUGAGAACUUCAACACUAAUGUUAUCCCAUGCCUUCUGCAACUCAAGCCAAAGGCUUUUCUUUUAAUGUACAAUACAUCCGUCCAGUAUAUAUUUUCCAACUCGCCCCAAAUUUGCUCGAUGGGAUUGACGUCCAGACUUUGAGGGGGCCAUUCCAUCAGUUUCAAUAUUCCAGCAAAAUUUCAAGAUUCCUUUUAUAGCAGGUGAACUGAAGGAGAUUAAGCAGGACAUUUCAAGCCUUCGCUAUGAGCUGCUGGAGGAAAAGUCACACAACAUGGAGGAGCUGGCAAUGCUAGUGAAGGCACUUGAAAAAAAUCUCUCUCUCAGGACUGCUUGAAACUAAAAUCUC